UACCUGCAGCUCAAGUGGUGACCGCUAUUAUUGGGCCUAAAACGUUCGUAGCCGGCUGAGUAAAUGCUUGGGUAAAUCGUGUAGCUUAACUAUACGAAUUCCGGGUAGACUGCUUAGCUUGAGACCGGGAGAAGCUAGAGGUACUCCUGGGGUAGAGGUGAAAUUCUGUAAUCCUGGGGGGACCACCAGUGGCGAAGGCGUCUAGCUAGAACGGGUCUGACGGUGAGGGACGAAACCCUGGGGCGCAAACCGGAUUAGAUACCCGGGUAGUCCAGGGCGCAAACGCUGCUUGCUUGAUGUUAGUCGGGCUCCGAGCUCGGCUAGUGUCGGAGAGAAGUUGUUAAGCAAGCUGCCUGGGAAUACGAUCGACAAGAUUGAAACUUAAAGGAAUUGGGCGGGGGAGCGACAGCAACGGGUGAGCGUGCGGUUU
rnacentral:rRNA from 1 species